AGAUUGAACGCUGGCGGCAUGCUUUACACAUGCAAGUCGAACGGUAACAGGCCGCAAGGUGCUGACGAGUGGCGAACGGGUGAGUAAUGUAUCGGAACGUGCCCAGUCGUGGGGGAUAACGCAGCGAAAGCUGCGCUAAUACCGCAUACGAUCUAUGGAUGAAAGCGGGGGACCGUAAGGCCUCGCGCGAUUGGAGCGGCCGAUAUCAGAUUAGGUAGUUGGUGGGGUAAAGGCUCACCAAGCCAACGAUCUGUAGCUGGUCUGAGAGGACGACCAGCCACACUGGGACUGAGACACGGCCCAGACUCCUACGGGAGGCAGCAGUGGGAAUUUGGACAAUGGGCGCAAGCCUGAUCCAGCAAGUCGACCGCGUGCAGGAAGAACGG
rnacentral:rRNA from 1 species